rnacentral:rRNA from 1 species
CUACCCCUGCGUCUCCCCCUGCCGCGUGUAGUGAUGAAUGCCUUAGGGUUCGUAACGCUCUUUCGCCUGGAAUAAUAUGGACAGUCCUCCGCAAAAAACCCCCGGCUAAUUCCUUGCCACCACCCCCGGUAUUACGGAGGGGGUUACGUUUGUUCGAAUUUUCUGGCCGUAAAGCGCGCGUAGGCGGAUUACAAGGUUGGGGGUGAAAUCCCGGGGUCCACCCUCAGAUGUGCCUCCAUAACUGCUUGACUAGAGUUCGAGAGAGGUGAGUGGAAUUCCGAGUGUAGAGGUGAAAUUCGUAGAUAUUCGGAGGAACACCAAUGGCGAAGGCGGCUCACUGGCUCGCUACUGACGCUGAGGUGCGAAAGUGUGGGGAGCAAACAGGAUUAGAUACCCUGGUAGUCCACACCUUUAAACGAUGAAUGCCAGUCGUCGGAUAGUAUAUUGUUCGUUGACGCGUCUAACCUAUUACGUUUUCCACCCGGGGAGGGCAGUCCCGCCAUUAAAAUUCAAAUGAAUUGACUGAACGG